rnacentral:rRNA from 1 species
CUACGGGGUGCUGCAGUGAGGAAUAUUGCACAAUGGGGGAAACCCUGAUGCAGCAACGCCGCGUGGAGGAUGACGCAUUUCGGUGUGUAAACUCCUUUUAUCAGAGAAGAAAAUGACGGUAUCUGAUGAAUAAGCUCCGGCUAACUCCGUGCCAGCAGCCGCGGUAAUAUGGAGGGAGCAAGCGUUAUUCGGAAUCACUGGGCGUAAAGGACGCGUAGGCGGGUUUUUAAGUCAGGUGUGAAAUCCUAUGGCUCAACCAUAGAACUGCACUUGAAACUGGGGACCUAGAGUAUGGAAGGGGCAGGUGGAAUUAGUGGUGUAGGGGUAAGAUCCGUAGAUAUCACUAGGAAUACCGAAAGCGAAGGCGACCUGCUGGGACAUUACUGACGCUGAGGCGUGAAAGCGUGGGGAGCAAACAGGAUUAGAUACCCCAGUAGUC